UCAUCUUCUUAUCCAAUUGCUCCUUCAAUGCCUAAUAUACUCUUUGAGUCCUUCAAUUCUGAUAUAGGAAACUCACCUAGCUCAACCUUCUCAAAUCAAUUUGAUUGUGAUUCUUUUACCACAUUGAGUGAGAGCCAGGAGCAGUAUAGUUCUACUGAGAAUCCUUCAGGAGCCAGCCCUUCUUGUAACUCUUCACUUGAAUCCAGUAGUUAUUUUCAUCAACUGAGCCCCCCAUUGUUGCACGAUGCAAAUUCUAGCCAGAACAUAAAACAUGCAUUGCUGCGAUUAGAGACUGUUCUGAUGGGGCCUGAUGAUGAUGAAAACAUAACAAUGGCUAAUACUUCUUUGGGGGG
rnacentral:misc_RNA from 1 species